GAUGAGCAUGCGUCCCAUUAGCUAGUUGGUAAGGUAACGGCUUACCAAGGCAACGAUGGGUAGGGGUCCUGAGAGGGAGAUCCCCCACACUGGUACUGAGACACGGACCAGACUCCUACGGGAGGCAGCAGUGAGGAAUAUUGGUCAAUGGGCGCAAGCCUGAACCAGCCAUGCCGCGUGCAGGAUGAAGCAUCUAUGGUGUGUAAACUGCUUUUGUACGAGAAGAAACACUCCUUCGUGAAGGAGCUUGACGGUAUCGUAAGAAUAAGGACCGGCUAACUCCGUGCCAGCAGCCGCGGUAAUACGGAGGGUCCAAGCGUUAUCCGGAAUCAUUGGGUUUAAAGGGUCCGUAGGCGGUUUUGUAAGUCAGUGGUGAAAGCCCAUCGCUCAACGGUGGAACGGCCAUUGAUACUGCAAGACUUGAAUUAUUAGGAAGUAACUAGAAUAUGUAGUGUAGCGGUGAAAUGCUUAGAUAUUACAUGGAAUACCAAUUGCGAAGGCAGGUUACUACUAAUGGAUUGACGCUGAUGGACGAAAGCGUGGGGAGCGAACAGGA
rnacentral:rRNA from 1 species